UUUCUUNGGNNGGNNNNCAUNGGGAAUUUUUCCNCAAUGGNGGAAANUUUUNUGNCANNANUNCCNCUUAAUUNAAAAANGCCCCUUGGNUNNAAAGNUUUNNUUNUCGGGAAAANAUAANGACUNUACCCCGAANAANAAGGUCCNGGCUAAAUUUNGUGCCAGCANGCCGCGGUUAUANGAANGGGACCUAGCGUUAANUUCGGAAAUUACUGGGNNGUAAAAGCGNNNNGUAGGCGGUUAAGUAAGUUAAAUUGUGAAAAGCCCAAAGCUCAACUUUGGAAUUGCAAUUAAAAACUACUUAGCUAGAGUUUAUCAGAGGAAAGCGGAAUACAUAGUGUAGAGGUGAAAUUNGUAGAUAUUAUGUAGAACACCAGUUGCGAAGGCGGCUUUCUGGGAUAACACUGACGCUGAGGUGCGAAAGUAUGGGUAGCGAAGAGGAUUAGAUACCCUCGUAGUCCAUACCGUAAACGAUGAUUGUUAGAUGUUGGAAAUUUAUUUUCAGUAUCACAGCUAACGCGUUAAACAAUCCGCCUGGGGAGUACGACCGCAAGGUUAAAACUCAAAUGAAUUGACGGGGACCCGCACAAGCGGUGGAGCAUGUGGUUUAAUUCGAAGCUACGCGCAGAACCUUACCAACACUUGACAUGUCUGUCGCGGAUUCCAGAGAUGGAUUCCUUCGGUUCGGCCGGACAGAACACAGGUGCUGCAUGGCUGUCGUCAGCUCGUGUCGUGAGAUGUUGGGUUAAGUCCCGCAACGAGCGCAACCCCUACUUCUAGUUGCCAUCAGGUUAAGCUGGGCACUCUAGUAGGACUGCCUGUGAUAAGCAGGAGGAAGGUUGGGAUGACGUCAAGUCCUCAUGGCCCUUACGUGUUGGGCUACACACGUGCUACAAUGGCAGUGACAAUGAGAUGCUAAACAGCGAUGUUAAGCUAAACUCAAAAACCUGCCUCAGUUCGGAUUGCACUCUGCAACUCGAGUGCAUGAAGCUGGAAUCGCUAGUAAUCGCUCAUCAGCGCGGAGCGGUGAAUACGUUCCCGGGUCUUGUACACACCGCCCGUCACACCAUGGAAGUUGGUUUUACCUUAAGGCAUGUCACUAACCCUCGGGAAGUGCGUGACCACGGUAUGAUCGGCGANCUGGGGUGAAGUCGUAACAAGGUAAC
rnacentral:rRNA from 1 species